rnacentral:rRNA from 1 species
UACGUAGGGUGCGAGCGUUAAUCGGAAUUACUGGGCGUAAAGCGUCCGCAGGUGGUUUUCCAAGUCUGCUGUUAAAGCGCGAGGCUUAACCUCGUACAGGCAGUGGAAACUGGAUGACUAGAGUAUGGUAGGGGUAGCGGGAAUUCCCAGUGUAGCGGUGAAAUGCGUAGAUAUUGGGAAGAACACCAGCGGCGAAAGCGCGCUACUGGGCCAUUACUGACACUCAUGGACGAAAGCUAGGGGAGCGAAAGGG